ensembl:snRNA U6 U6 spliceosomal RNA
AUGCUUGGUUCAGCAGUACAUGUCCUGAAACUUGAGUAAUGCAGAGAAGAUUGGCACGAUCCCUGUGCAAGGAUGACACGCACAUUCGUCAAGUGUUUCAUGUUAAA